CCUGCAGACCUGCUUCACCGCCUGUGAAGCUCCUCCCCUGCAGGUGGGGAGCCGGGGGCUCGAACCGGGGUCCUUAUAAGUCGGUCCUUGCACGCUUAACCCGCUGCACGCCACGGCCCGGACUCCCGACAUGUGCUCUUAAGAGCAGAUUCCUGGGGACAGGCCUUUCACUGCAGCAGAGGCAGACAGUGUAUGGGAAGCUAAGAUAAUAGCCUCCGUAGGUCCCUCCCCCGUACCCCCAACUCCGACCUUUGUCAGAGUCCUGGGCUGAAUGUUCAGGCUGUUGUGAAGAGGAAAACCUCCCCACGGAAGGAGCAGGAACAGAUAAGAAGUAAAAGGCAGAGGAUCAGAGAGAGAGAAGCAGAAACUCCAGCACCCAAGCUUUCUUCAGUGCAGUGGGGGCUUUGCUCAGACUUGGGCUGCACACGUGACACAGCAGCACACUGCCCAGAUACAGAGAAACAGAGAAGGAGAAAGUAUAAGGAUACUGAGCUGCAGCUUCUGAGACUUAGAGUUUCCUACUCACCAAAUCAUUAAUAUGGAUUCUGAGACAUUGUGACUUGCCACCAGCCUCUUGGUCCACUUUCUCCCACGAUGAGGCACCUCAGGUCAGGCCCCUUGAGCUCCGAGCCCCCACCUCUUCUCACCCUUCGCAGAAACUCUUAGGCUGGGGGCACAAUACCAUCUCUGUUGGCGGGGAAGAGAUGUCUCCUCUCACUCCCCCACAACUCCCCAGUGGGGUGCCAGUCUCUGUCUGGCAGGACAUGCACUUCUUUUGAGUCCCACUCAGUCUGUCCAAGCAUCUAGUGGACUUUUCCCAUUAGCCAGACAGCUCAAAACCAAGUUCAUCAUCAUGUUCUCAGUCUUCAUAAACAGCACCAUUACCUUCCCAAAUGCCCAAACCAGGAACAUCAGCAAAACCAGUCUCUUCUGCAAAGUUCUCCCCAAUCCUGCCUAGCCCACUCUACCCUAUCUCUCGUCUCCAUUAGAGAGGCAUGCAGUUUCUCCUUCAGGGUGCCAUCACUUCUUACCUGUGGCUGUCUUUUCACGUCACCAGACCUCAGACCUCUAGAAGCAGAGUGAGCUUUUCUGUCUAUUGGUCUGAACAAAGGGUUCCCUCACUCUGAAAUCUUCAAUGCUCCCUUAUUUCUAAUACCCUCAGUCACUGCAAUUUGUCUCCAUGUUUCUACUUUAUUUCUUUUAUAUAUAACUUAUUAGUGAUUUAAUAGUGAUGAACAAGAUUGUAAGAUCACAGGGGUACA